AUGUAAAACUUUUAAGUUUACUGUCUAAAAAUUAUAAACAUUUUAUAUUCAGAACUAUGAAUUUUAUAUGGAUUUUAUCUAAAUGAUACUUAGCCAAUAUUUAAACAAUAUUUAUCCUAUAUUUAAAAAAAAAAAAAAAAAAAACUUUCAUUAAAGAAAAUAUUAAUUUCUGAAAUCUUUUCAGAAGGAAUGAGAAAGUUUAAAGCGCGUAGUUGGACUAUACAAGUAUGUGAAGGUUGUGACCCUUCGUACCUGGAAUAUAUAUAGACUUAAGUAGAGGCUGUGUUUCUGCCGAAACUUGAGUGAACGUCGAAGUUUCUCUCGACAAAGAUUAAAUAGAAAAACUGAAACCAGUGCUGAGGCAGUGCUGGAACCCUACCCUUUAGUACAGUGUAAACUGCUGUACUAAAACUGGACCUUGUCAAGUCUUCAAGUCCUGAAAGAACUCUUGGUGUGGAGUUCAAGAUCUCUGUAGGUCGAUCUAAACUAAAAUGGUCCUACAGACAUUAUUGAUCGAUUGACGUACGCAAGCAUGGAACUGUGAACAGUGCUCUCAUGUAAAUGGAUACUCACCGUAAUGUAAGUUUUUAUUUUUGUAUUCUUUCAUAAAAACUAUAUUGUCCUAAAAAGUCCAACCUAUAAAAUCUAAAAAGCCGCGCUAUAAAAAUUGCAUUUUUCACACUUGA
rnacentral:lncRNA from 1 species